UACGUAGGGGGCAAGCGUUGUCCGGAUUUAUUGGGCGUAAAGAGCGUGUAGGCGGCCAGACAGGUCAGCUGUGAAAACUCGAGGCUCAACCUCGAGACGUCGGUUGAAACCAUCUGGCUAGAGUCCGGAAGAGGAGAGUGGAAUUCCUGGUGUAGCGGUGAAAUGCGCAGAUAUCAGGAAGAACACCCGUGGCGAAGGCGGCUCUCUGGGACGGUACUGACGCUGAUGCGCGAAAGCCAGGGGAGCGAACGGG
rnacentral:rRNA from 1 species